rnacentral:rRNA from 1 species
GACGAACGCUGGCGGCGUGCUUAACACAUGCAAGUCGAGCGGUAAGGCCCUUUCGGGGGUACACGAGCGGCGAACGGGUGAGUAACACGUGGGUGACCUGCCCUCAGCUCUGGGAUAAGCCUGGGAAACCGGGUCUAAUACUGGAUAUGACUCCAUGACGCAUGUUGUGGGGUGGAAAGCCUUGUGCGGCUGAGGAUGGGCCCGCGGCCUAUCAGCUUGUUGGUGGGGUGANGGCCUACCAAGGCGACGACGGGUAGCCGGCCUGAGAGGGCGACCGGCCACACUGGGACUGAGACACGGCCCAGACUCCUACGGGAGGCAGCAGUGGGGAAUCUUGCACAAUGGGGGCAACCCUGAUGCAGCGACGCCGCGUGGGCGAUGAAGGUCUUCGGAUCGUAAAGCCCUUUUCUGCGUGACGAGGAGNGGACGGUAGCGCAGGAAGAAGCGUCGGCUAACUACGUGCCAGCCGCCGCUGU